CUCAGUAUGAAGCUUACACUGGUCUGGAAAACACAGCGAAUCUCCUGCCUCAGCCUCCCUAGUGCUGAGAUGACAGGCAUGUGCCAUCAGGUCCAAUUUAAAUGUUUUAAAAACCAUACACCGGUCACCGCUUUUAGCAAAUGUCAACAGAACUUGCACUUCUUUGAUUUUGGGCACUUCCUCAAAACCGGCCUUCCCUACUUGAAGCACCAAGCUCAGAGUCCGAGGUCACAAUGCCACUGAGCCUGCUCCACGCCCGGCGGCGAGAAGUAGCUCGGAGCCAGCGCCUCGGUGAGUCCCCAACUCAGGGCAUGUGGCCAGCACCGCCAGAAGAGCCACGGGAGGAAAAUGGAGGCCCCGUGCACGCAGGGCGCUGCACGCCGGGGCCUGGCGUGGCGCGCGAGGCGGUCAAGCCCGUUAAGGGGGGAGGGGGCGGGAAGGGCGUGGAAAGGGAGGGGAGGAGCAAGAGCACCGCGGAGGGCCCCGCCCACGCCACGGCGAGCGGUUCCGGCGAGCCCGGCUCUGAGAAUCCGCUCCAGGCCGCUCCCGACCACGAGCCGCUUCACAGACGCCGGCCACCCUCCGUGCUUUCCCUUCAGCCCUUUGUGUCCCGGUGCGCGUCGGAGAACGCGCGCUGCGCCCUCCGCCUGCGCAGGGGACGGACGCGUGAGGGCCGGAGCCAGAGUAGGCGUGGCUCUCGCUCGCCCCGCCCCUGCCCGCCAUUUCGCGCUUCUGCACGUUGCCGGGACCCGCGUGAUGGACGCCCGGAAACCGGUGCAACAAAGGCUGCCUCGCCAGAUUCCCGGACCUUCCGGGUUCUUAAGUGAUCGGACUGUGGCGGCAACCCGACCUGUGCAAGGGAACACGCAGUGGCAGUGAUUUAGAGCCAGGGCCAUGGGGACCAGAAAAAGCUAGGGGCGUUGUGGUGCUCUCUUGGGGAGAAGCUGCAGCAACGAGGCUCACUGCGACUUCCUGAUUCAGCUGCCUUUGCUAAGGGGAGAGACCAGGUUUAGGCUACUAACCCCGCGGGGACCUCCUGGGAGCAGGGGCGCGGGUUCUCGGGGAUCCGGAGCUCUCCACACAUGUAGCCCCUGCUCGGUUGCAUCGGAUCCAGGGGCGCUGGAACCCCCAUCACCCGCAGCUUCAGUAGCUGGGAAGCGUCAGAGAGCAAUGACAAAGUUCCCAUGGCAAUGGAUAUUCGCUUCUGCUAGCUGAUCCUAGGGACAGGCUUUUGGCUGUUGUUUUUGUUUCUUGCACUGUGUCCUGGACCACUGGGCUGCCCUUAGACAACUCUAGUGACCUUGUCUGAGAAAAAUUUUUAAAGGGCUGCUGGUAUGUAGCUCAGUGCAAAGGCCCUGGAUUCAGUCUUUAGUGCCAACCAUAUAAAUAAAUAUCUAAAAACUCUCAGU
rnacentral:lncRNA from 1 species